UACGGGGGGGCAAGCGUUGUUCGGAAUUACUGGGCGUAAAGAGCGCGCAGGCGGUCGUUCAAGUCGCGUGUGAAAGCCCCCGGCUCAACUGGGGAGGGUCACGCGAUACUGAUCGACUCGAAGGCAGGAGAGGGAAGUGGAAUUCCCGGUGUAGUGGUGAAAUGCGUAGAUAUCGGGAGGAACACCAGUGGCGAAGGCGACUUCCUGGCCUGUUCUUGACGCUGAGGCGCGAAAGCGUGGGGAGCAAACAGG
rnacentral:rRNA from 1 species